AGUGAACGCUGGCGGUAGGCCUAACACAUGCAAGUCGAACGGCAGCACGGUAAGAGCUUGCUCUUACGGGUGGCGAGUGGCGGACGGGUGAGGAAUACAUCGGAAUCUACUUUUUCGUGGGGGAUAACGUAGGGAAACUUACGCUAAUACCGCAUACGACCUACGGGUGAAAGCAGGGGAUCUUCGGACCUUGCGCGAUUGAAUGAGCCGAUGUCGGAUUAGCUAGUUGGCGGGGUAAAGGCCCACCAAGGCGACGAUCCGUAGCUGGUCUGAGAGGAUGAUCAGCCACACUGGAACUAAGACACGGUCCAGACUCCUACGGGAGGCAGCAGUGGGGAAUAUUGGACAAUGGGCGCAAGCCUGAUCCAGCCAUACCGCGUGGGUGAAGAAGGCCUUCGGGUUGUAAAGCCCUUUUGUUGGGAAAGAAAAGCAGCAGGUUAAUACCCCGCUGUUCUGACGGUACCCAAAGAAUAAGCACCGGCUAACUUCGUG
rnacentral:rRNA from 1 species